UCCAAGAGGAAAUGAAGUACGAAAUGAGUUCAUUUAGGAAAUCAUGGAUCUUCAAAUAUUAGAGAACGAUCCGUCAAAUAUUUGAAAUUGUCAGGUGAUGCUCAGUGUCUGGCGCCAUGUGACGCUUUUAAUUUAUUCAAAACACUGUCCUCUAAGUAGCUUCAUUCAAGAUCACUUUUUUCUAUUUUUUUUUUCUUUCUAAGUGACUGCUCUCGAAAAUAAAAAGAAAAACUCAACUAUUUGUUUUGUAACUUUAAAUUAAAAUAAUUUAUUUCAUUUCAAUUUUUAUUUAUUUUCAACAAUAUAAUUUAUUUAAUUAAUUAAUCAGAAAACAUAAUUGGGACUGCAUAAAACCAAAUUCUACCACAGGCAGCCAUAUUGAAAUAAAUUGAGCUAAAUUUUUUGGCGGGAAUGUUAGUCUCGAAUAGGUUAGGUUUGUGUUUAAAUAAAUAAAUGGAUAAAAAAAAAUUGUUAACUGGAAAAAAAAAUUCCAAAAAGAAUCGGAGAAUUGGCCUAUUAUAAUAUUCAUCCCUUCACUUGCAUAACGGUUGUCAUUAUCGUAUCAUUACAAGUACAAGAGACUGGUAGUUGGUCACACUGGUAUUUGGUGAUUCAAUUGUUGAAUUGUGUGAAUCUCAAUAAGGCUAGUUGUGUAUAAAUAUGCUUUUAAUUAUAAUAAAAGGAAAGGUGAAAUUCAUCAUACGGGUCUUUGAUAUAUUUUUAAAACCCAUUCUGAGAUUUUUGUAAUAUAUAAUGUACCCUAUCAUUACCUAUUAUAUUACACAGUAGGAUAAAGAGCUUUAAAAAAGCAUACAGAUGUCGCAGACACGCCUAUUUCUUUCACAAAUAAAAGGGUUUAGAAACUAAUCAAAGGAAAUGGUGAAUAAUUGGGUUAUCGUCCAAUGUCCCACAUUUUAUUACAGUCACCUUCAGAAUUCAUUUAUUUUUAUUUUAUAAUAUAAAUAGAGAGAAGUUUUGGAAAAAACUGAGCAGUAAUGUCUGACUAUUCUGAGAUGAAAAAAAAGGCAGAAACUAGUUAGGAGUAAUUCGUUGGAAUCUCUGAUGAUCUCAGUCCAGAAUUUUUACAAUUAUAAAAAUUUUUUCAACGUAGUAAAUAAAAAAAAAUGUAUCAGGAGAUCAAAAACUACCGCAAGUAAUAAUAAAAAUUAUUACAUUAAAUUGUGAGGAAGAAACAUCAAAAAUAUGAAGACAAAUAUAUCAUGGCAUUUUGAGUAAAAUUUGUAAAGAGGAUUAUUUUAUUUUGAAGAAGAAAAAAAAAAUAGGUUUAUAAAUAUUCUAAAAGGACUUGAACCCAAAGACAUCUAAUCAAACAAUAAGACCAUCUCUGUCUCCUAAGAGGAUGCUCAUCACUCUUAUUUUACUUAUUAUAGUAAGUCUUUAAACUGUUCAAAUACACAAGCUCUGACUUGCCUACAGUUUCCACGGAAGUGAAAAGUCUUUGGGAUUAUUCGUGUUUGCGUUUGGAUUAUACUCAAGUGUGUGUUAGAUUGAGAGGCAAGCUGAGAUGACGAGUUGGCUGUUCCCACGUGCCUCAUCUAGAGAGUUUGCUUUAUGCUGUCCCUGUUAAAAUUCUUUGAGUCCCCAACACAUAACUUUUUUUUCCCCUGUGGAUACUGAAAUAAUAGUUUAAUAUUUUUUUGUCUUACAUUUCCUCUUCAUAUUUCAUUUAUUUCUUCUUUAUUUUCUAUUGUAAUGAUGUUUAAAGUUGUUGAUAAGACUCUUUUUUAUGACCAAUGAUUCACACUUAGAAAUCUCGCAAGUUUUAUUGCAUGUUUGUCUGGUGGUCAUUUGAUGGGAAAUAACUCAACUCUAAUUUUUUCUUCAAGAAAAAGGAUGAUUAAAAAAUCUAAAUGACCCUGAAUGAUAAAUAUAUAUAUAUCGAGUAAAACCAAAUGGGCCUUAAAGUGAUCCAAAACAUGGCUAAAAUGUAAAAAGGCCCAAUUAAUACACAUAAUUUAAGCACAAAAAUAUUUUUUAAGUUCAUAUGAAAGGCUCAAUUGUAAAUUAAAAAUAUUUUUGAUGCAUAAUUGGAGUCUAAAUUAUUUUUAGGCUUACAAUGGACCCAAUUUAUGUAAAAAUUAUUUCUUCGACCCCUCGUAUAUCUAAUUUAAGUCCCAAAAUAUUUUUUAAGGCCAUAUUAGACUGAAUACUUUCAUUUUUUAAUCAAUCGAAACCCAUAUAUAUCUAGAAUAUUGCGUAUGUGCAAUUAAGGAUUGAAUGGAGUCCGCUAUGGGCCUUAAAAUAUUUUUGGUCCUUAAAAAAGUUUUGAAAUUAAAUUA
rnacentral:lncRNA from 1 species